rnacentral:rRNA from 1 species
GACAGAGGCCCCGAGCGUUAGGCGGAAUCACUGGGCUUAAAGCGUGUGUAGGCGGGCCCGUAAGUGUCUUGUGAAAUCCCACGGCUCAACCGUGGAACUGCUGGGCAUACUGCGGGUCUUGGGCCAACUAGGGGCAGCCGGAACAAGCGGUGGAGCGGCGAAAUGCGUAGAUAUCGGGAGGAACACCUGUGGCGAAAGCGGCUCACUGGACCACAACUGACGCUGAGGCGCGAAAGCUAGGGGAGCAAACAGG